GGCUAACGCUGGCGGCGUGUCUUAGCCAUGCAAGUCGAGCGGACUUAUGGGGUAACUUAUAAGUCAGCGGCGGACGGCGGAGUAACACGUAGCUAACCUACCCUCUGGACGGGGAUAACCUACCGAAAGGUGGGCUAAUACCCGAUGUAGUCAUCCUGUAUAGGGGUGAUGAAAGGUGGGCUUCUGUUUACAAGCUCAUGCUGGAGGAGGGGGCUGCGGCCUAUCAGGUAGUUGGUAGGGUAAUAGCCUACCAAGCCGAUGACGGGUAGCCGGCCUGAGAGGGUGACCGGCCCGAGGGGCACUGAGAUACGGGUCCCACUCCUACGGGAGGCAGCAGGCUAGAAAUUUGGGCAAUGGGGGAAACCCUGACCCAGUGACGCCGCGUGCAGGAAGGAGCCCUUCGGGGUGUAACGUGCUGUCGUGUAGGGAGAAGGGGUACUAAGGUGAACAAUCUUAGUACUUGACGGUACUACAGGAGGAAGCCCAGGCUAACCUCGUG
rnacentral:rRNA from 1 species